rnacentral:rRNA from 1 species
UAAUACGUAGGGGGCAAGCGUUGUCCGGAUUUACUGGGCGUAAAGAGCGCGUAGGCGGAAGCUUAAGUGUGGCCUGAAAGCCCCCGGCUCAACCGGGGAAGGUGGCUGCAAACUGGGCUUCUUGAGGGGGAUAGGGGAAAGUGGAAUUCCGGGUGUAGCGGUGAAAUGCGUAGAGAUCCGGAGGAACACCAGUGGCGAAGGCGGCUUUCUGGGUCCGCCCUGACGCUGAGGCGCGAAAGCGUGGGGAGCGAACGGG